UUCCGUCACAUCCCCACAGAGUCACACAUGGAGAGGGGUGCUGCUGCCUGUCUCUCUACCUUCAGAGGCACCAGAGUGCAUGACUCAGACCGUGUUGCUUUAGGAGAAUGAUUCUUGUUGUCAAGUUGUUUUCUGAGGGAUAUGCGAACGAGAGUAUACCUGGGCCAGCACAACAUUUGAAUGCUCCAUCAUAAUAGCCUACAUGCGUAGGGUGCGCGUCAAUAUGACAUUACUUGACCUUACAGCCAUGACAGCCUGCAUAUAUUAUGUAACAUCUCCGGAGUCCGUUCCUAAACAACUAAAGUAUAGCACGCGGAAUGCUUUAAAACAGCCCAUCCCUCACCGGUCAUCCCUCGUUCCUUUCUCUCACUUUUUACUCAUCUGAAUUGUCUUCAGCAGGCUGGCUGUGAUGAAGCAGGGGUCUCCACAGAGGCAGAUGCUUAGCAACCACCUGCUGCUUGAUUAUGGGUUAAGUCAGACCCAAGGAUAUCCGGCAAUGGGAGAAAGAGGCAUAGCAUCCUGUGGGGGUGGGGCUUACUGAUGGUAAACAUGGUCCCCCACGGCCGGCAUGUCUGCCACGCCCACACCGAGGACCCUGGGGACGACCGAGAGGAGCGCAUCCUGGCCGUGCUCGGGAUCAUCGGGACCGUGCUCAACCUGCUGGUGGUCAUCUUCGUCUAUAUAUACACCACCAUCUGACCACUACCACCGCAACGAUCCCACCAGUACUGGACCACGGUCCAGGCUGACACGUCACCAAGGGAGAGGGGAACGCAGCGCAGAAAAUGGAGGUGGACCAAGAAGGAGUAGGACCAAGCCCGUCAAAACCACCAGUGUUAUCGAGCUUUGACCCCCAAAAAAUCUAAGCCGUGCCUGACCAUAUCGCCAUCCUUUCCAUCUUUAGGCCCGGGAGGGUGAGGAAGAGCAGGUUUAUUCAUGAAAAUGGCCAUUUUGAUAUCAGAUACAUGGGAAACCUCUACCAUUUCGUACGAUGACAAGGCUAUUGUUUUGUACAGACUCUCUCACAUGCAUUAUUUGUAGAUGUUUAGAUAAAUUCGCCCUGUUUGAUUAUUCAUUCGACACAUAUUUACCUAACGAUUCUUUUUUGUUGGCCUUUUUGUUCUGAAUUCACACUUUAUUGUUCGCUAGGGUUAACCUUUGUCAAGAAGCACAAAGACUCUGCCCGUUGAGGAAGUGAUGGAGAAUUUUAUCUUGGUCAAAAAGGCAUUGUCACCUGGACCACAUUCCAACGCUGAAGGAUAUGACAUUCACCCUCACAUAGUGAAAAUGAGAGGCCGUUCACUGAGACCCCAAUAUCACUGCACUGUACGAAGAGCAGGCCUCAAUAUUCAUUUCAUCCUCAAUAUACUCUUUUCUACUAGCAAACCUGAGACGAUGUGAUACCAAGAGAAUAUCCUUGGAGCUCUUGUUUCAAGAAAACUCCUGUUUCCACACAUUUUAUCUUGUGAUUUAUAAGUGUUAACUACAAUAACAAAAGAGACCGAUAAGAGUCAAAACUCAUUUGUAUCAUUAUUAUCAAUUGACGCUCAUUAUAUUUCCCCACAUUCAUGUAUGAUACACAUUCACAUACCCCCCCCCCCCUUCCCCCCCAUUCCCGCUGUAGCCAACAUGCCAUUUUCAACUGAAAAGCUGAAUAUGGCUUGUCACUGCACCAGUUGAAGCAAAAUAUUGGGUUUCCAUUUAUAAUCGAUGUCCGAGUAUUUAACCGGUAGGGUGUCAGAUGUGGCUUUGAGAUACUGCUGUGACAUGUAGCACGUGCAUUACCUGUUCACCUCCAAGAGUUUCACUCACACACGGGUACAGCACGUGUUGUUUUUGCCCCAAUUGCCAACCUUGCUGCGAAACCACAUCUCAAGUCAAUCUCCAGUGCUUCCAGAAGAGUUCAUUACUUGAACAAGAACACAGACCCACACUCCUCACCUUGAAAAAACACUUGCCUUACUGAUGUCAUUGAAGAGACACUUUGGUAGCUGUGAUGGAAAUGCUUCCUGAUGCUUUUUUAUUUUUUAACACAAUCUCUUA